rnacentral:tRNA from 1 species
GGCCGAGUGGCAGAGGGGUUAUGCAGCGGCCUGCAAAGCCGUCUACGCCGGUUCGAAUCCGACCUCGGCCUCCA